CUACGGGAGGCAGCAGUGGGGAAUAUUGCGCAAUGGGGGAAACCCUGACGCAGCAACGCCGCGUGAAUGAUGAAGGCCUUCGGGUUGUAAAGUUCUGUCUUCUGGGACGAUAAUGACGGUACCAGAGGAGGAAGCCACGGCUAACUACGUGCCAGCAGCCGCGGUAAUACGUAGGUGGCAAGCGUUGUCCGGAUUUACUGGGCGUAAAGGAUGCGUAGGCGGACAUUUAAGUCAGAUGUGAAAUACCCGAGCUUAACUUGGGUGCUGCAUUUGAAACUGGGUGUCUAGAGUGCAGGAGAGGUAAGUGGAAUUCCUAGUGUAGCGGUGAAAUGCGUAGAGAUUAGGAAGAACACCAGUGGCGAAGGCGACUUACUGGACUGUAACUGACGCUGAGGCAUGAAAGCGUGGGGAGCAAACAGGAUUAGAUACCCUGGU
rnacentral:rRNA from 1 species